CCCAGUUCCUGUUCCUCCUUGAGCAUCAUAUUCAAAGUCGGGAUAUCUUGAGAUGCCAAGCUUGCAAGCUCCCAAAGUUUUGAAAUUAACGGUGUAAGUAUCAGUUUUUGGGAGUGUGGUGGUGGAAAUGGUGUCUCGUUGAUUUGGACUAGAAGAUAAUGCAACGGUUUUAAUUCUAAGAGCUGGUAUUCUCGUGGAAAAUUUGCACAGAAUUGGGGGGUUUGAAGUGUGUAUCCUGCAACCCAUUUUCUAAAAAGUUAUGAUUUUAAGUUCUACCCAGAUGUGGAUGAAGAGGAAUUGAGCUUUGGCACUAGACUUGUGGUAUUAGAUGAGUGGAGUAACCAAAAGCUCACCGCAAGUUGCAGUUUUCGUGAAAUCAGGCACAUGAAAAUAAGAGGCUGUUAUGUGUUCUGAAUUUGGACCUUAUCUUUAUAUUUUAGGAAAUUUUACUACUGUGGCAUAUGUUGUGGACUGGACGCACCUGCGCUAGAAGAAAUAAAAAUUGAAAACUUAUAGAAUCACU
rnacentral:misc_RNA from 1 species